GGGCGAUUGGCGCAGUGGUAGCGCGCUUCCCUGACACGGAAGAGGUCACUGGUUCAAACCCAGUAUCGCCCA
rnacentral:tRNA from 5 species